AUUGAACGCUGGCGGAAUGCUUUACACAUGCAAGUCGAACGGUAGAGGGGGCAACCCCUCGAGAGUGGCGAACGGGUGAGUAAUAUAUCGGAACGUGCCCAGUCGUGGGGGAUAACGUAGCGAAAGUUACGCUAAUACCGCAUACGAUCUAAGGAUGAAAGCGGGGGAUCGCAAGACCUCGCGCGAGUGGAGCGGCCGAUAUCAAAUGAGGUAGUUGGUGGGGUAAAGGCUCACCAAGCCAACGAUCUGUAGCUGGUCUGAGAGGACGACCAGCCACACUGGAACUGAGACACGGUCCAGACUCCUACGGGAGGCAGCAGUGGGGAAUUUUGGACAAUGGACGCAAGUCUGAUCCAGCCAUUCCGCGUGCAGGAUGAAGGCCCUCGGGCUGUAAACUGCUUUUGUACGGAACGAAAAGGUCUCUCUUAAUACGGGGGACUCAUGACGGUACCGUAAGAAUAAGCACCGGCUAACUACGUGCCAGCAGCCGCGGUAA
rnacentral:rRNA from 1 species